UUAGUGGCGGACGGGUGAGUAACGCGUGGAAAACCUGCCGUAUACUGGGGGAUAACACUUAGAAAUAGGUGCUAAUACCGCAUAAGCGCACAGCUUCGCAUGAAGCGGUGUGAAAAACUCUGGUGGUAUACGAUGGUUCCGCGUCUGAUUAGCUAGUUGGUGGGGUAAUGGCCUACCAAGGCAACGAUCAGUAGCCGGCCUGAGAGGGUGAACGGCCACAUUGGGACUGAGACACGGCCCAAACUCUUACGGAAGGCAGCAG
rnacentral:rRNA from 1 species